GGGCGACGCCCCCCUACGCGUUCCCGUCGUCAUCCUAGAGUGAGGACGUCCCUCUUGGAGUUUGUUGGACUGGUAAAUUCAGGUCCCUGCUAACGCAGAAUGCGAACACAGUUGAAGGACCACAACGCUCCGGCUAGUGCGGUGACAAAAAAUUCAAGAGCUUUGAAGAAGGAACCAGCCCUGCUGACAUUUUGACUUUAGCCCAGCGAGACAGAUUUUGAACGUCUAACUUUUUUCAUUGUAGCUGAGAACACUAGCAAGUUUUUGCUGGAAGUCACCAAGAUCAGGACAUCUGUGCAGCUGUAAGAGAUCAACAAUCCCAUCGUGUCUCAUGGCUGUAUUUAUAAAGAGCCAUUUGAAAAUUUGAAGUUACAUAUACGGUUUGCAUCGUAUUUCUCUCCAAUAGCAUUGGAAUGUAGUAUUUAAUGACAUGGAAAAACAUUCUCAACACAUUGUUACAAUUGGCUGCAGGCUACCUAUCAGCAAAAGAGAACUCAGGAAAAAAACAUAAAAAGGUAAAAUAACUAGGGGAGCCUGGGUGGCUCAGUUGGUUGAUCGCCCGCCACUCUCGACUUCAGCUCAGGUCAUGAUCUCAUGGUUCAUGAGUUUGAGCUCCACGUCGAGCUCUUCACUGACAGGCCACAGGGGCCUGCUUGGGAUUCUCUCUCUCCCUCUCUCUGUCUGCCCCUUCCCCAUUUAUGUCCGCUCUCUCUCUUGAAAUAAACUUAAAAAAAAACUAAAAUUAAUAUCAUUUAUUAAAGAUAUAGUUUGUUGAUAUUUACUUUACAAUCUUAUUUUGGCUUAAUGGUAUAAAAGCUGCACAUACAAGUUUUUCAUAACUUGUAUACUGAAAUUAUUAUAAUAACACAUGAACAGAAGUCCACAAAUGGUGGUUUUUUUUCUGUAUAUAUAAAACUUGCUGGAGAGAUUUCCACCCACAUUUGUUUAAAAAAAUAAAACUACACAGACAUGCAUUUUGACAUAUGUUCCAUUCCAGUGUUAAAGGCUGAUUGGAAGAACAUUAUUUUCAAAGCGUAUUUUGCCAGAAGAAUAUAAAGCCAGUAUAUUUUUAAUACAUUCUAGUUCACACUCUUCACAUAGCAAUAUGGAAUGAAAAAGAGUAUGCUUGAAGAAUUUUUUCCUAAAAAAAAAAAAAAAAACACACUUUCUCCCAAAAUGCCGGUGCUAGAACUCUAAGCUUUCAAAGCAUGUCUAAAUUUAGAUGUCAAAACAGGAGCAAUCUCUGUGGUGUAUUGGGCCUGUUCUGGUGCUCUGGAAACUAACAAAUCAGAUUCUGUUACUGACCAUAGGGAAAACACAAUCUGGACAGUGGGGAGGGAGACAGAUGUAGACACAAUUAUCUGUGAUGCACUAUCUUCCGUCAAGAAAAAAGGAAGCAUAAUGGGAAUGAAAGAGUCAUGUGGUCUGCAGUGUUGGCAAAAGCAGUGAAGGAGCAUAAAAACCCACUGAGAAACUGCGAGAUCUGAUGGCAGGUGCGGUCGGAUUAAGGGCAUGGCUCAGGGGGUUGCUGGCAGGACCUGAGGGUGGAAAAGUAUAAGGACAAGUGCCCUUCCAAGGGCCUUCAGUGCUACCACGCUGUACUUUUACACAGGGUAACAGCACGUCUUCACUAAGUUCUUUAAGGUUCUUGAGUAAUGUAACUCUAGUGGCCAUAUGGAGGCUGGAUGGAUGGAAGAAAAGAUGCACGUAAGUCAGCUGAAAUUCUGAACCUGUUCAGAGCCUGCAGAAAUGGAGGAAGGGGAUAAAUCUGAGAGACGUUUCAGAGCACCAACAGGACUUAGAGACUAAUGAGCGGGGAUGACUGAGGGUUUUAGCUCCUGUGACACCUCAUAGUAAUGACACAGAUUAAUGAAAAAAUUCAGAAAAAGAGGCGAUUUGAUGGUUAGGGUGGGAGAGUUAGCUCAGUUUUUGAUGUGUGGAGUUUCAGGAACAACAGUUAAUAUACUACGCGUACUUAUUUCCUUUUACAGGCUGCAUGUGCAGCAUCUCAUUUAGUCCCCAUAUUAAAUAUGCUAUGAGGCAGAUAUUACAAUGGUGCCCAUUUUGUACAUUAGGAAACAGGUCUGGAUAACGUGAUCGAGGUUUUCCGGUAAGUAGUGGUACCCAGAAUGGAAGUAGGCUGCACCGUAUCAGAGUCCAGUGAAGAGAAGGAUCAUUUCCUCUACUGAGACACGAGAAAAGAGGAGAGGAUGUAUAAGGCAAAAGACAUAUUUGGAAGCAAAGAAACAAAGCUGACAACCUGUGUGUGGCAGGAGACCAUGCCAUCUGCUCAGAAUCGGGUGGGGGACAGGGAAGAGAGAAGUCAUCAACCAGGUGCCAAAGAGCCCUAAUGACUCAGUGCAACUACAAGGGGUGAGAAGAACAAGAUCUGCUGAUUGACACCGAGGGCACACCAGAAGCCUGGACACUCCUGCAAUCUAGAUCCCAGCAGGGGCUCUGUCACGUCUGGGUCAUGACCCAGCAGGACAAAUAUACGGGAAUCCUGGGACUGCACCCUGGGCAGACCUGCCCUCUUUCCAGAGCUGUGGUUUUCCCUGUGGUGUUCCCAGCAGGGACACGGACCAGAGAACUAAGAGGAUGACUACCUUUAA